UACAGAGACUGCAAGCGUUAUUCGGAUUCACUGGGCGUAAAGGGUGCGCAGGCGGCCAAGUGUGUUAGGCGUGAAGGCCCGGGGCUUAACCCCGGAAUUGCACCUAAAACUACAUGGCUAGAGCAUUGGAGAGGGUAGCGGAAUUCACGGUGUAGCAGUGAAAUGCGUAGAUAUCGUGAGGAACACCAGAGGCGAAGGCGGCUACCUGGACAAUUGCUGACGCUCAGGCACGAAAGCGUGGGGAGCAAAAGGG
rnacentral:rRNA from 1 species